rnacentral:rRNA from 1 species
AGUGAACGCUGGCGGUAGGCCUAACACAUGCAAGUCGAACGGCAGCACAGUAAGAGCUUGCUCUUACGGGUGGCGAGUGGCGGACGGGUGAGGAAUACAUCGGAAUCUACUUUUUCGUGGGGGAUAACGUAGGGAAACUUACGCUAAUACCGCAUACGACCUACGGGUGAAAGCAGGGGAUCUUCGGACCUUGCGCGAUUGAAUGAGCCGAUGUCGGAUUAGCUAGUUGGCGGGGUAAAGGCCCACCAAGGCGACGAUCCGUAGCUGGUCUGAGAGGAUGAUCAGCCACACUGGAACUGAGACACGGUCCAGACUCCUACGGGAGGCAGCAGUGGGGAAUAUUGGACAAUGGGCGCAAGCCUGAUCCAGCCAUACCGCGUGGGUGAAGAAGGCCUUCGGGUUGUAAAGCCCUUUUGUUAGGAAAGAAAAGUAGCAGGUUAAUACCCCGCUGUUCUGACGGUACCCAAAGAAUAAGCACCGGCUAACUUCGUG